GACCAUAGUUAAUAUAGAAGACCGGGUUUGGAAGGCCGGCAAACUUUAAAGCAACACGUGAUCAAAUGGGAUACCAUGUUACAAAGUACGUCACGUGACAGCUUAUAGUGCAUUCGAGCUGCAAUUCAUAGUAGAAACUUAUAGAAAAUAGAGGGAUCUUUGUCUAAAAUCACCAUUUUCUCGUCUCAUACGAGGUCUACGGAGCCAUGCGGCAUUGAAUACAUGGAGAUGGACGAAGAGAGUUCUUUGCCAUUUUAUGAAGGCAAUGGAGCCUAUAGUUCGGGUUUUGAAGACGAUUUUGAGCAAACUCUUGCUAAUGCUUGAUAUGGACUUCGAGGUGGUGAUGAUCGAGGUUCAAAAUUCUCAUGAAGAGGUGAGUUAAAUAUCAAAAUAACUUAUAAAAGUAAGCCGUGCCUUUUCAAUAACAUCACCUAUAAUUUAACUUGAAUCUAGGUUGAAGGAAAUAAGCAAUUCCCUUGCGACUUUUGUGAGAAAAUUUGCAAGUCAAAGGGUGGUCUAACAAAACAUCAACAUCCUUCUGAAGCUUUAUAUUAUAAAUUAAAAGAAAGAAGAGCAAAGAAAACUUUCUAAAGGAGUUUUAUGGCAAUACAAACGCUCAUUGGCAACAAUAUUUUGAUCCUUAUCCUGACAAGAUUGAGCAACCAUUUGACUCUGAGGUAAUUGUUUUCUGAGUUUUAGUUUAAUAUAUUUAUCAGUUUGACCUAGCUAGCUAGAUGGUGUAUGUCUGGAGGUAGUGUAUUUCAAUAAGGUCUAUAAAUUGUAUAAUAUAUAAUACUGGUCAAAC